rnacentral:ncRNA from 1 species
UGUCUCCUCCACCCUCCUCCUUUGGUGGAUUUGGCCCGAGAUUGCAAAAUCUCGGGCCUUUUUUU